AUUGAACGCUGGCGGCAGGCCUAACACAUGCAAGUCGAGCGGGGUUUUCGGACCUAGCGGCGGACGGGUGAGUAAUGCGUAGGAAGCUACCCGAUAGAGGGGGAUACCAGUUGGAAACGACUGUUAAUACCGCAUAAUGUCUACGGACCAAAGUGUGGGACCUUCGGGCCACAUGCUAUCGGAUGCGCCUACGUGGGAUUAGCUAGUUGGUGAGGUAAUGGCUCACCAAGGCGACGAUCCCUAGCUGGUUUGAGAGGAUGAUCAGCCACACUGGAACUGAGACACGGUCCAGACUCCUACGGGAGGCAGCAGUGGGGAAUGUUGGACAAUGGGCGCAAGCCUGAUUCAGCCAUGCCGCGUGUGUGAAGAAGGCCUUCGGGUUGUAAAGCACUUUCAGUGAGGAGGAAGGGGUGAGUGUUAAUAGUACUCAUCUUUGACGUUACUCGCAGAAGAAGCACCGGCUAACUCUGUGCCAGCCGCCGCCGUAACAC
rnacentral:rRNA from 1 species